UACGAAGGGGGCGAGCGUUGUUCGGAAUUACUGGGCGUAAAGGGCGCGCAGGCGGCUCUGAAAGUCAGAUGUGAAAGCCCCGGGCUUAACCUGGGAAUUGCAUUUGAUACUCUGGAGCUUGAGUACGGGAGAGGAGAGUGGAAUUCCCAGUGUAGAGGUGAAAUUCGUAGAUAUUGGGAAGAACACCGGUGGCGAAGGCGGCUCUCUGGACCGUAACUGACGCUGAGGCGCGAAAGCGUGGGGAUCAAACAGG
rnacentral:rRNA from 1 species